rnacentral:tRNA from 1 species
GGGGUAGUGGUUUAGCUUGGCAUGAUACGUGCUUUGGGAGCAUGAGGUCGUCGGUUCAAAUCCGACCUACCCCACCA